GGGACGGGUCGGCCCAAACGAGUCGCCGUCUCUGACUCGCCCGAACCGUCGUCAUCGGCCGGCGAAUGCGAGCCGGGAGACCCCGCUUCUUCUCCUCCGGCGGCGGCUGCGGCGGCGGAAGAAGAAGCAUAAGAAGAAGAAGAAGAAGAUCCUCCGAGACCUCCGCCUCUUCCGCUCUCUCCGCGCGAGAUGAGAUAGCUCGCAGAAACGGGACGCGCCUCCGGCUUCCGCGAGCUCCGCCAGGCGCCGAUGAGGAGCAACAUUUCCUCGAGAUGCAGCUCCCUGACAAUAGGCGAGCGGAUCUGCGCGGCCUUCAUACCGUUCGUGGCGAUUUUCGAGAUUUUUAUAUUCACAUUGGUCGAUUGCUUCGAGUGCCGACCCCGGCCGCGCGACAGGAGGCUUCCCUACGGUUUCAGAGAACUGGUUCGCCUCGCAGAUGAGACAAAAUUCACCGUGAACGAAGUGGAAGCGUUACACGAGCUGUACAAGAAACUGAGCAAUUCGAUCAUUGAUGAUGGUCUAAUCCACAAGGAGGAGCUUCAGUUGGCACUGUUCCAGACUCCGUCAGGGGAGAACCUUUUCCUCGACCGGGUCUUUGAUGUUUUUGAUGAAAAGAAAAAUGGAGUCAUUGAAUUUGAAGAGUUUGUCCAUGCACUCAAUGUCUUUCAUCCCUAUGCUCCAGUGGAAGACAAAAUAGACUUUGCAUUUAGGUUGUAUGAUCUCAGACAAACAGGGUACAUUGAGCGAGAAGAGGUUAAGCAAAUGGUUAUUGCAAUUUUGAUGGAAUCAGACACGAGUCUGUCCGAGGAUCUCCUUGAGGCUAUUAUCGACAAAACAUUUGCUGAUGCAGAUGCUGACAGGGAUGGGAGGAUCAGCAAAGAUGAAUGGAAGGCUUUCGUGCUACGAAAUCCGACUCUUCUGAAGAAUAUGACUCUUCCAUACUUAAAGGAUGUCACCACUGUGUUUCCGAGUUUUGUUUUCAAUACUGAAGUCGAAGACUGAAAGUUCUAGUGAUUUAUCAUAUUGCACUACUGGAUAGUGCCAUCAAAAGAUAGUCUCGCAUGAACAGCCUCAUUUCAGCAGAUACAUAUAGGUCAAGUUUUCUGUGGGUUGGAGACAGUUUUUAAGUUUAGGAGCAGAUUCCACUUUGUCAUUUGAUUAUGGGAACUACAGUGCUACUCAGUGAUCUGAGCAAAUGAGGAAAAGAAAGGAACUUAUUAGAAGGAAAAAUGCUUUUGUUGCUCUGGGCGUCAAAUUGCAGCAUGGUGGAAGAAUCUCACAGAUAAAAGAAGGUUACUCUUUCUGUUCUUUCAUUGAGGCCAGCCUCUACUCUGGAACACGACGCAAACCUAAAAUUAUUUACUCAUCCACUGAGACUCUUCAGAUUCUGAAUCGAAUUGACUCUCCCCACUCUGGGACUGGUCGUACUGUACGGACCCUACCUGCUCCCAGUUGGCUACUACUGAAGCCUCUGGUGAAUCUAGGCUGCCGCCAGUGGAGCAGACUCUUGCUGUUGAGAUGGACAGUGCUGAAAACUCGAGUCAUUCCUAACAGAUGUUAAUAGAAUCCUAGAGAGAUCUGGGACAUCAGUCAAUCUUGGUCCCAAAGCGAUUGCUCUCCGUGCCACUGGCACUCCUGGUCCUAGCGUGCAAAGCACAGAAAACCAGAGUCUUGGAGCUGGAGAGGCACAGGAAAACAGGAUGGUGAUCACAGAAAUAGGAGAGUUCGAGGACUCAGGAUUGAUGAAGAAACUUGUGAGCCAGAUCGUGAAGACUCUCCAGGAAUGAGGAUGAAGCAGCGGGAGCGACAUCUGAUGGUGAAGGAAAAGAUGAGGCCAGAGGCUGGAUAUAAAGUUGGGGGAAAUUAGUUUUGAUGAUGAAGGUCCUGUUGACGAAAAAAGGGAGGAAAUCGUCGUGGUCCCCGAUGAGAUGAUUCGUGAAGCCGUGUUGGGUAACGGGGGACAAGCUCAAAGAAACCAUCGAUUUGGGGUGGUCCAAACGUGGAUGAGAAGAAGGGCAAGCUAAUAGGCAUGGCGGAUGAUGUAGGGGAGAAUGAUCCACAUUGAAAGGAAGCUUUCUGGUCGUUUUCCCAUAACUUUAAUAGAAAAGUUCCCGGCAAAAGAAAAUGCGAGAAAGUGCGCUAAGCAGUACCAGCAAGAGUUGAAUUAGAUGAACGAUUCUGACAAUCCGUCUUUACUAAGCCUGGUUCGGAGUAGCGAUCCUUAAAGCGGCAUUUGCCAGAAACGAGAAACAUAAUGACUCUUCAUGCCCCGCUUGAUGACUGGAAGGUCGAGCAUUCCUCGGGUCAGAAGCGAAAGCCUGAGCCUACUAAACUCGGGUGCGCCAAGAAGGCCGAAACCUUGAGGUAUUAUACUUCACUGGCAUGACUAUGAAUUUGGGCAGCAAUUGGCAAAUUCUAGUCUCUCCAGCCUCAUAACGAGUUCUCUCCAAUUCGAGUGAGAAUGACGCGUGCAUCAUUCGAGUAUUGACGCAUUGUUGCAUCAGUAAAGUUAGAUUGGACGAGAUUCUGUCAAUUAGGAGUCGAGUUCUAUUAGGGAUUUUAUAAGUUCUUUCUUCCUAUUAUAAGGAAGGUUUUCUUAUCUUACAUGUUUCCUCCUUUAUAUUUUCCUUUACUAGAAAUUCAGAUUUCAAAGAACCAUUACGGUUCUUCCUAUCAA